rnacentral:rRNA from 1 species
UACGUAGGUGGCGAGCGUUGUCCGGAUUUACUGGGCGUAAAGGGAGCGUAGGCGGACUUUUAAGUGAGAUGUGAAAUACUCGGGCUCAACUUGAGUGCUGCAUUUGAAACUGUCAGGCUGGAGUGCAGGAGAGGUAAGUGGAAUUCCUAGUGUAGCGGUGAAAUGCGUAGAUAUUAGGAGGAACACCAGUGGCGAAGGCGGCUUACUGGACUGUAACUGACGUUGAGGCUCGAAAGCGUGGGGAGCAAACAGG